rnacentral:rRNA from 1 species
AUGAGUUCUUUGAUAUUAGUCUUCUACCCUGUCCUGCAUUAUGUUCAUACUGGUGACUUUGAAGCGACCAUUAAACUGUGGGAUUGCAUCGGAAUUCAGAUUGCGCUUCUCAACAGUAUCUUAUGGCUCUUGUAUGGUAUCGUUGUCCUCAAGAGAGAUAGCGCUCAUGAUGUGAUAAUAUCAAAUUCCUUAUUCUGUGGAGUAAAUCUGGCCUACCUGCUAAUGAUUUGUGGCUAUGAAAAGAAGAAAAUCAAGUUAACGUUUCAGGCUUAUCUCUGGUUUACCGGGACGAUGCUGUUCCUUCUGAUGGCUCUUAUUAUCCUUCAAGUCGAAAUUGAGGGCCACCCUGCUCAUGUUUUGGAGUAUGUUUUUGGUGUGUUAGCCCUUUAUCUGCUGGGUUCCGCUCAUGCUAUUCAGAUGUAUCAGCUUUUUACCUUGGACACGAAGAUGGAGCUCCUAACUGUCCUGAUGACUAUUAUGCCAAGCUGCAUCUUCUGCAUUGUCCAGGCAAUUGUUACCUUUAUUAGCCACAAGAACCAGCGCAUCAUGGUGAUCUCAUCCUCUCUAAACUUGGUGUGCUACGGCUUGGAGAUACUGCUGUUGAUUCAAGUUCACAAAAAGUUGAAGGCUCCAGAGGCCAUAAAGAAGUUAAAAUCUACUGUUGGCAGGUCAUUCCGCAGGAGACAAGACGAAGCUCAUUUGGAGGAUCGAGAUCAACCUAAUGAAGGGAAUGAUAGUGACUCCAAUGUUAUACCUCCUGCGCCGCCGUCAACACGCACUGAUUUACAAAGGGUUGUGGUCGCUAUCAGUAGAAUGGAAGCGCGAAACGAUGGUUGUAAGAUUGAGAUCGUUGAAGAAGGGGGAGAUGAACAGACCAAUGAGAUGCACGCGCUAGGAAUUCAAAGUCCAAAUCGUAUUAUUCCUUUGGGAGGGGACAAUGCUGGUCAACAUAAUGUGACCCCUCCAGUUCCAGCAGUCUCACUCCCACAUGCACCCAGGAAGCAUAGAAGAAAGGGAGGGGUAGCGAAAAAUGGAGUGUCUCGAAGGGGUGUUGAAGUGACCAAGGAAUCAGCUGGGCAAUUGUGGCAGUUCGGGUGCAAGUAG